GUUUGAUCCUGGCUCAGAGCGAACGUUAGCGGCAGGCUUAACACAUGCAAGUCGAGCGAGAAAGGGGCUUCGGCUCCGAGUAAAGCGGCGGACGGGUGCGUAACACGUGGAUAAUCUGCCUCGUGGCGGGGGACAACAGUCCGAAAGGACUGCUAAUACCGCAUGUCAGGUCGGAAACUCCGGUUUCUGACGAAAAAGAGGGCGUCCGCAAGGAGCUCUCACCACGAGAUGAGUCCGCGUCCCAUCAGCUAGUUGGCGGUGUAAUGGACCACCAAGGCUUAGACGGGUAGCUGGUCUGAGAGGAUGACCAGCCACACUGGGACUGAGACACGGCCCAGACUCCUACGGGAGGCAGCAGUGGGGAAUAUUGGACAAUGGGCGAAAGCCUGAUCCAGCCAUGCCGCGUGAGUGAUGAAGGCCUCGGUCGUAAGACUCUGUGGGGAGGGACGGAAAAAGACGUAGACCUAAUACGUCUCGCCUUGACGGUA
rnacentral:rRNA from 1 species